rnacentral:rRNA from 1 species
AUUGAACGCUGGCGGCAUGCUUUACACAUGCAAGUCGAACGGUAACAGGGAGCUUGCUCCGCUGACGAGUGGCGAACGGGUGAGUAAUGCAUCGGAACGUACCCAGUCGUGGGGGAUAACGUAGCGAAAGUUACGCUAAUACCGCAUACGUCCUGAGGGAGAAAGCGGGGGACCGUAAGGCCUCGCGCGAUUGGAGCGGCCGAUGUCGGAUUAGCUAGUUGGUAGGGUAAAGGCCUACCAAGGCGACGAUCCGUAGCGGGUCUGAGAGGAUGAUCCGCCACACUGGGACUGAGACACGGCCCAGACUCCUACGGGAGGCAGCAGUGGGGAAUUUUGGACAAUGGGCGAAAGCCUGAUCCAGCCAUGCCGCGUGAGUGAAGAAGGCCUCGGUUGUAAGGUACUCUUUCUAGUCCGGAAACGGAAAAGUACGACGCAGGAGUAAUAACUACUGCGUGGAGUGACGGUACCGGAAGGAA